GGAUGUGGGGUUGCUUAGACAACCAGGAUGUUGGCUUAGAAGCAGCCACCAUUGAAAGAGUGCGUAAUAGCUCACUGGUCGAGUGACCCCGCGCCGAAAAUGUACCGGGGCUAAACAUAUUACCGAAACUGUGGAUGAACCUCUUUAGAGGUUCGUGGUAGGAGAGCGUUCUAAGGGCGGUGAAGUCAGACCGGAAGGACUGGUGGAGCGCUUAGAAGUGAGAAUGCCGGUAUGAGUAGCGAAAGAAGGGUGAGAAUCCCUUCCACCGAAUAUCUAAGGUUUCCUGAGGAAGGCUCGUCCGCUC
rnacentral:rRNA from 1 species